GGGGAAUAUUGCGCAAUGGGGGAAACCCUGACGCAGCAAUACCGCGUGAGUGAAGAAGGUUUUCGGAUCGUAAAGCUCUGUUAUUGGGGAAGAAAAAAAGACGGUACCCAAGAAGAAAGUCCCGGCUAACUACGUGCCAGCAGCCGCGGUAAUACGUAGGGGGCGAGCGUUGUCCGGAAUUAUUGGGCGUAAAGGGUGCGUAGGCGGCUGAACAAGUCAGAUGUGAAAGGUACCGGCUCAACCGGUGACAUGCAUUUGAAACUGAAAGACUUGAGUAUUGGAGAGGCAAGUGGAAUUCCUAGGGGAGCGGUGAAAUGCGUAGAUAUUAGGAGGAACACCGGUGGCGAAGGCGGCUUGCUGGACAAAUACUGACGCUGAGGUGCGAAAGCGUGGGGAGCAAACA
rnacentral:rRNA from 1 species